GACCUUACUUGAACAGGAUCUGUUCUAUAGGAU
rnacentral:snoRNA from 1 species